rnacentral:misc_RNA from 1 species
GAAAUGCGAUAAGUAAUGUGUAUUGCAGAAUUCAGUGAAUCAUCGAAUCUUUGAACGCACCUUGCGCUCCUUGGUAUUCCGAGGAGCAUGCCUGUUUGAGUGUCAUGGAAUUCUCAACUCUAUUUGCUUUUGUGAAUAGAGCUUGGAUUUGGAGGUUUAUUGCUGGUACUUGUGAUCGGCUCCUCUUGAAUGCAUUAGCUCGAACCUUUGCGGAUCAGCUAUCGGUGUGAUAAUUGUCUACGCCGUUGCAGUGAAGCAUAUCAAUGGGCUCGGCUUCCAAUCGUCCUUUACUGGACAAUGACUUUGACCUUUGACCUCAAAUCAGGUAGGAUUACCCGCUGAACUUAAGC